CAGUAGCCGCGGGAAUACGAAGGGGGCUAGCGUUGCUCGGAAUGACUGGGCGUAAAGGGCGCGUAGGCGGAUUGUUUAGUUAGGCGUGAAAUUCCUGGGCUUAACCUGGGGACUGCGCUUAAUACAGGCAGUCUAGAGUGAGGAAGAGGGUUGCGGAAUUCCCAGUGUAGAGGUGAAAUUCGUAGAUAUUGGGAAGAACACCGGUGGCGAAGGCGGCAACCUGGUCCUUGACUGACGCUGAGGCGCGAAAACGUGGGGAGCAAACAGGAUUAGAUACCCCCGUAGUCCCUGUCUCUUAUAC
rnacentral:rRNA from 1 species